GAGAGAAGUGACGAUGGUGAUCGUUGUUGCCGCGGCCGAUAUGGAACCCAAGCAGUGGCGAAGGGAAUCGCAAGGCUCUUCCCUGACCAUUUUCUCCUGUCCCUGCGCGAGGUGAAUGCAAAGGUGUUAAAUGAGGUUGAAUAUAUUGAUCAGAAAAGAAAAUAUUAGUCCUUUGUUGAAGAAGAGUUUUCUCAUACUGGAAAGAAAAAAAAAAGAAAGAAACUUCAAAAACUUCAUGCUGCUUUCUGAAGUACUCCAGCCAAAAAAAAUAAUGCAGGAAUCAAGUUGGAUUAGCUCAGAUGACUACAAAAUGGUUCAAGCGAUUGUCCUGAGUAUCUGGGACUACAGACAUGCGCCACCACGCCCAGCUAAUUUUUGUAUUUUUAGUAGAGAUGGGGUUUCACACCAUGUUGGGCAGGAUGGUCUCAAUCUCUUGAACUUGUGAUCUGCCUGCCUCGGCCUCCCAAAGUGCUGGGAUUCCAGGUGUGAGCUGACUAGUGUCUUUAUAAGAAGAAGAGAUG
rnacentral:antisense_RNA from 1 species